rnacentral:pre_miRNA from 1 species
AGCACCAGUCGCGCUAAGCUUAGCUUUAGAUCCCACAUGGAUAAGCUGUGGUUUAAAGCACUUUGUCC